AUCCUGUGAAACUCAGCAGCAUAUAUACUAAAAUUGGAACGAUACAGAGAAGAUUAGCAUGGCCCCUUUUCAAGGAUGACAUCGAAAUUCGUGAAGCAUUCUAUAUUUUU
rnacentral:snRNA from 1 species